CACGUAGGGUGCGAGCGUUGUCCGGAAUUAUUGGGCGUAAAGAGCUCGUAGGCGGUUCGGCAAGUCACGUGUGAAAUCUCCACGCUCAACGUGGAGGCGCCACGUGAGACUGCUGUGACUCGAGUCCGGUAGGGGAGCGUGGAAUUCCCGGUGUAGCGGUGAAAUGCGCAGAGAUCGGGAGGAACACCCGUAGCGAAGGCGGCGCUCUGGGCCGGUACUGACGCUGAGGAGCGAAAGCGUGGGGAGCAAACAGG
rnacentral:rRNA from 1 species